GAGUUUGAUCUUGGCUCAGAUUGAACGCUGGCGGCAUGCUUUACACAUGCAAGUCGAACGGCAGCACGGAGAGCUUGCUCUCUGGUGGCGAGUGGCGAACGGGUGAGUAAUGCAUCGGAACGUACCGAGUAAUGGGGGAUAACUGUCCGAAAGGAUGGCUAAUACCGCAUACGCCCUGAGGGGGAAAGCGGGGGAUCUUAGGACCUCGCGUUAUUUGAGCGGCCGAUGUUGGAUUAGCUAGUUGGUGGGGUAAAGGCCUACCAAGGCGACGAUCCAUAGCGGGUCUGAGAGGAUGAUCCGC
rnacentral:rRNA from 1 species